UAUAUAUAUAUAUAUAUAUAUAUAUAUAUAUAUAUAUAUAUAUAUAUAUAUAUAUAUAUAUAUAUAUAUUAUUAUUAUUAUUUUACUUUUUUUUUUUAAUAGCCAUAUCCAAUUUCUGAUCCAUGCAUAACAUGUUUUUUUUUUUUUUUUUUUUUUGACAGGAUAACCUUUAGAUGCCAGCUGGCGAUUUUAACAUCGACACGCUGAUGCAAUCCUGAUGAAGAAUUACUCCCAAAGUCUCAUCCUUUUACUUCCUUCACUUCAAACAGACGAGGAAAGCCAGGCAGGAGGCACUGCUUGUGAUAGAACCCUUCACCCUGGUGUGCGUCUCGGUCUGGAAACCACCUCAAAUCUGCAACCCAGCACGACUCAGCUGGUGGAUGGCAAAUCAAAAGUGCAAUCAAGCAAAAAAAAAAAAACAGAAGAUGCUGCAGUCUUUUCCAUACAGCAGGCCUGUGGAGAUCAUUGAAGAGGAGCAGACUACAAUGCCCUUGCCUCUUGAUGUGGCCUCUCAGGGGAAAAAUUGCAGGUAAACUAAGCUGGAAACAUUGCCAACAAAUCUCUUCGCUUGUCUCUCGCUCCGUCUUUCCCUGUAGCUGGCAGAUUAGAAUAGCUGAUCAAAUCCAUGAGCAUGGCGUCUCCGGCGGGACACGGUGUGCAAAUCUGCUGCACAUCACUUCUAACAUACUUCACAUUUGGAAGAAACAGGACAUCCUUCUCAGAUUCAGAGACAAUGUCUAAAGUGUAAAUGUGUUAGUAUGUGUGUAUAAAGCCAUACAAUUCCUGGCUUAAAUUUGCAGUUGUAAGCCGGAAAUUGUAAGGAAUUAUGACUAAAGCUUUGUCAAAGAGCUUAAUGUGGUAUUUAUAAUGUGAAAAUAUAAAUAAAUGCUUGCACUUUAUGGUUUCUAAAG
rnacentral:lncRNA from 1 species